GACGAACGCUGGCGGCGUGCUUAACACAUGCAAGUCGAACGGAAAGGCCCUGCUGUUGUUUGGUGCUCGUGUGGCGAACGGGUGAGUAACACGUGUGUAACCUGCCCUUGACUUUGGGAUAACUUCACGAAACUUGGGCUAAUACCGGAUAGGAUCUCCUGCUGCAUGGUGUGGGUUGGAAAGUUUCGGCUUUUGGGUAUGGACUCGCGGCUUACCAGCUUGUUGGUGGGGUAGUGGCUUACCAAGGCUUUGACGGGUAGCCGGCAUGAGAGGGUGACCGGCCACCUGGGGACUGCGAUACGGACCAGACUCCUACGGGAGGCAGCAGUGGGGAAUAUUGCACAAUGGCCGGGAGCCGGAUGAAGAAACGCCGGGUGCGGAAUGCCGGCAUUAGGGUUGUAAACAGCUUUCGCCUGUGACGAACCGUGAGUGACGGUAAUGAGUAAAGAAGCACCGGCUAACUACGUG
rnacentral:rRNA from 1 species